ensembl:lncRNA
AUGCAAACAAUACAAUGGAUUAUUUACCAAGAGAUAUGGAUGUAUGAACUCAUUUCGAUAAAACACUUCUGGUCUACUCUAGAGUUUUUACUCUGCAGAAAACUGACGAGCAACCCAACCCACCAACAGACGAGGAAGAUGAGGAUGAUAAUCACAGUGGUCCAGCAUAUACAAAGAGAAAGGUUUGUUUGUUUUUUUACCUUCCACAUUAUUAUUUUUGUAAAUGCAGUUGCAAUAAGAAAACAUAAUUUUCCCCACAUAUUUCUUAAAGUAUGUAAGAGUGAAGAUUUGUUUAAGUGGGUCGUUGUUUUCAAAUAACCUCAACUAAAUGCAUUAGCUAGUUUCAACUAUUUUUAUGAUGAGAAUGUACUGAAGUUAUAUGCAUCGGUUUGUCUGAGAUCAUCUGCAAUAUCUGUCCUGCUUUUACAGAUGCUAAAUAUAAAGACUAUACAGAUGCUCAUCUCUGCCAAAACUCACGUGACUACAACACAAACACAGCAUCACAGUUCAUCACUUUACUUGGUACUUCACUCAGGAUGUAAAGACACACAGGAGUAACUGAUUAUUUCUCUUAACAUACACAUUUCUUCUAAUAUUUCUAUGUUUUGUAGUAACCAAAAGAAGCUGAAGGAAUGUCAGACGUUACUCAGACACCUGUGAACACUGAGCAGUGGUUGGAGUCCAAGACAGUGAAAUCAUCUUUAUUAUACUUCUGAUUGAACUAGCAAGAAGCAUUAGAGACAAUGAGAAAGUAAGUUCAAGUAAAAUGUUUGCAUUGACCAUUUCACCGUGUUAUUUUUUGCAGUAACUGCAGAUUAAAAGCUUUGGAGCUACUGAAUGUGUAUUUUUCAAGCAUUUUAUUGCAGGGUUCACUGUUAUUUUUCUGCAUAGUGAUUACUGGUGAAAAGUGUUUAUUAAUUUACUUCAAUGUAUAGUUAACCAGAAUUCUGUCUUUUAUGUUUCACCAAACCUCUGACUUUUGUUUCUCUGCAGAACUCAAAAGAAGAUACUUUGAAGAAUGCUUGUAAUCAAACCCAACAAGUUUGUCAGGUAUGGACAGUAUGAAGGGGACAAAAUGAUUUUCAUAUUUUGGGUGAACUCUAUUUAAUUAGCAUGCUACACACUAAAUAUUAAUCAUGCUGGGCACAGCCACUUAUUGUGCUGUCACUGCAGUUGGUGCUGUAAAUAGUCUGUCAAAUAACAGGUACAUUGCUACAACAUACAUUUAAUGUAGUUCACAAUGAUGCAUUACGUUACACCUUUACUAAUAGAUACUUGUAUAUUAUUUGCUCUUUACAGGUGCAGAAAUAAAAGCUCCCAAACAAAGAUGUCACCGGAUUAAGAUGUGGAAAGACAUGUUACACCACAACAACCAUAAAUCCUGAGUAAUUUGAAUAUGGGCAACAACCAAGGAAAAGUACUCAUUGUUUUAGUCAGAAAUGAUUCAUGGUAAUAGUAAUGGAAUGGAAUUAUUUUAUUUGAAACAGGGACAAUGCACAAAUAAACAUUAAACUUGUUAAACAAGAGAAUAUGUCUUGGGCCAGGUUGUAGCAACAAUCGCUAAUUUCCACCUGUAGUCCCUGGGCAGGUAUGACAAAUUUUACAAAAUAACAAUUUUAAAAUAGAAAUUUCACAGCAUUAUGAAUAAAAUUAUGUCCAUUGUGAUUACAAACAAACAAGUUUGCAAAAAUCAGAACCAGGGAGGCCAUCAACCCAUUUACUCUCUGUCUCCUCUCUCUCCAGCAAACACACUUAAACAGUUCAGUAGCAUCUUAAGCACACACCCACAUACCCACACACACACACACACAUACAGGUAUACUAUCUCAAAGAUGUGUGCAAACUUGCUUACUUAGCAACCAACUCUUUGUCAGGCAUGAGAAAGUGUGAGAAUCUGUGCACAAGUUAUGUUCCGUGGGAAGAGUAUUCCACUGCCUCAUGGCCACACAUGAGAAGGAGGAGCUCCCAAAUUGGGUUUUACAUUGUGGGAAGCUACACUCCCCCCUUGUGACGCUUCUAGUUGUUCGCACUGUUUUUUCGGAGCAGAGUGUCACAAACUUUUUCAAAGGGGGAGCAGUAGCACUAUAUAUAAUUUUAUGUAGCAAAGACACAUUUGAGUGUUUUAUUAGAUUUUCAAAGCUAAGUAUAUCAUAUUUGACGAGUAUUUGACAGUGAUGAUAAUAACGUGUUUUUUUAUCAUGAAUCUUGAGACAGUUUUUAUACAAAGAUUCUAAAGGUUUUAUGACUGUUUUACAUGCCUGAGACCAGGAUGUAAUGCAGUACAAAAAGUGGGGGAUGAUCAUUGCAUUUAAAUAAGUACUGGAUGCUUCAGUGGUGAGAGAGUUUCUUAUAUAUCUAAAAUUUACUAAAUUAAAUUUCAAUUUGUUACACAAUUUCUUAACAUGACCUUUAAAACUAAGGGUGGAAUCUAGAAUUACCCCCAAAUAUUUAAAUUUAUCUACAUGUUUUAUAAGUUGUCCGUUUACUAAAAUUUCCGGAUAAGUUUUAAGUAUAAACCGGUUUGUAAAAAACAUAGUUACAGUUUUUUCAACAUUUAAUGUGAGACAUGAGUCAUGUAACCAGUGGCUAACCUUGCUCAUGACACUUGAUAAUUUUUUGGCUACGUCUGUUGCACUUCUCCCAAGGGUAUAUAAUACUGUAUCAUCAGCAUACAUAACAAUAUUUAUGCCCUUGCAGACCGAAGGCAGGUCAUUAAUAUAUAAGCAAAACAACAGUGGCCCUAGAAUUGACCCCUGUGGUACUCCCAUAGUAGAGACAAGAGAUGUAGACAAUGUGCCAUUUAUUUGCACACAUUGUUUUCGAUUUAUCAAGUAUGAUUUUUAUCCAAUUUUUGGACAUUUGUGGAAAUGUCGUAUUUGGCCAAUUUGUGUAUCAGUACCUCAUGGUUAACUGUAUCAAAGGCUUUGCGUAAAUCUAAGAAGACAGCUCCCACCACUCCUCCUUGAUCUAAGCUAGUUUUAAUCUCCUCAAGGAAGUAGCAACAUGCAGUUUCAGUGGAAUGUUUUUUUCUGAAACCAAAUUGCAUAGGAUGGAAAAAGGACUUAGAGUCUAGAUGUGCUAUAAGUUGUUCUGC